GACGAACGCUGGCGGCGUGCUUAACACAUGCAAGUCGAACGGAAAGGCCCUGCUUUUGUGGGGUGCUUGAGUGGCGAACGGGUGAGUAACACGUGAGUAACCUGCCCUUGACUUUGGGAUAACUUCAGGAAACUGGGGCUAAUACCGGAUAGGAGCUCCUGCUGCAUGGUGGGGGUUGGAAAGUUUCGGCGGUUGGGGCUGGACUCGCGGCUUAUCAGCUUGUUGGUGGGGUAGUUGCUUACCAAGGCUUUGACGGAUAGCCGGCCUGAGAGGGUGACCGGGCACAUGGGUACUAAGAGACGGAGCAGACUGCUACGGGAGGCAGCAGGGGAGAAUAUUGCACAGUGGGCGGAAGCCUGAUGCAGCAACGCCGCGUGCGGGAUGACGGGCUUCGGGGUGUAAACCGCUUUCGCCUGUGACGAAGCGUGAGUGACGGUAAUGAGUAAAGAAGCACCGGCUAACUACGUG
rnacentral:rRNA from 1 species